rnacentral:rRNA from 1 species
GGGCGUAAGGGCUCGCAGGCGGUUUCUUAAGUCUGAUGUGAAAGCCCUCGGCUCAACCGGGGAGGGUCAUUGGAAACUGGGGAACUUGAGUGCAGAAGAGGAGAGUGGAAUUCCACGUGUAGCGGUGAAAUGCGUAGAGAUGUGGAGGAACACCAGUGGCGAAGGCGACUCUCUGGUCUGUAACUGACGCUGAGGAGCGAAAGCGUGGGGAGCGAACAGGAUUAGAUACCCUGGUAGUCCACGCCGUAAACGAUGAGUGCUAAGUGUUAGGGGGUUUCCGCCCCU